AACGCUAGCUACAGGCUUAACACAUGCGAGUCGAGGGGCAGCAUGGUCUUAGCUUGCUAAGGCCGAUGGCGACCGGCGCACGGGUGAGUAACACGUAUCCAACCUGCCGUCUACUCUUGGACAGCCUUCUGAAAGGAAGAUUAAUACAAGAUGGCAUCAUGAGUCCGCAUGUUCACAUGAUUAAAGGUAUUCCGGUAGACGAUGGGGAUGCGUUCCAUUAGAUAGUAGGCGGGGUAACGGCCCACCUAGUCUUCGAUGGAUAGGGGUUCUGAGAGGAAGGUCCCCCACAUUGGAACUGAGACACGGUCCAAACUCCUACGGGAGGCAGCAGUGAGGAAUAUUGGUCAAUGGGCGAGAGCCUGAACCAGCCAAGUAGCGUGAAGGAUGACUGCCCUAUGGGUUGUAAACUUCUUUUAUAAAGGAAUAAAGUCGGGUAUGGAUACCCGUUUGCAUGUACUUUAUGGAUAAGGAUCGGCUAACUCCGUGCCAGCAGCCGCGGUAAUACGGAGGAUCCGAGCGUUAUCCGGAUUUAUUGGGUUUAAAGGGAGCGUAGAUGGAUGUUUAAGUCAGUUGUGAAAGUUUGCGGCUCAACCGUAAAAUUGCAGUUGAUACUGGAUAUCUUGAGUGCAGUUGAGGCAGGCGGAAUUCGUGGUGUAGCGGUGAAAUGCUUAGAUAUCACGAAGAACUCCGAUUG
rnacentral:rRNA from 1 species